CUAGCAUAUCAAUAAGCGGAGGAAAAGAAACCAACAGGGAUUGCCCUAGUAACGGCGAGUGAAGCGGCAACAGCUCAAAUUUGAAAUCUGGCGCAAGCCCGAGUUGUAAUUUGUAGAGGAUGCUUCUGGGCAGCGGCCGGUCUAAGUUCCUUGGAACAGGACGUCAUAGAGGGUGAGAAUCCCGUAUGCGACCGGCUUGCACCCGUCACGUAGCUCCUUCGACGAGUCGAGUUGUUUGGGAAUGCAGCUCUAAAUGGGAGGUAAAUUUCUUCUAAGGCUAAAUACCGGCCAGAGACCGAUAGCGCACAAGUAGAGUGAUCGAAAGAUGAAAAGCACUUUGGAAAGAGAGUUAAAAAGCACGUGAAAUUGUUGAAAGGGAAGCUCACGCAGCCAGACUUGUCGGCGGUGUUCCGCCGGUCUUCUGACCGGUCUAUUCGCCGCCGGCAGGCCAGCAUCACUUGGGAGCGCCGGAUAAAGGCGUGCGGAAUGUAGCCCCUCGGGGCAUUAUAGCCGCGCGCACAAUACGGCGCCUCCCGAGUGAGGUCCGCGCUUCGGCUAGGAUGCUGGCGUAAUGGUUGCUUGAGGCCCGUCUUGAAACACGGACCAAGGAGUCUAACAUCUAUGCGAGUGUUCGGGUGUCAAACCCCUACGCGGAAUGAAAGUGAACGGAGGUGGGAACCGCAAGGUGCACCAUCGACCGAUCCUGAUGUCUUCGGAUGGAUUUGAGUAAGAGCAUAGCUGUUGGGACCCGAAAGAUGGUGAACUAUGCCUGAAUAGGGUGAAGCCAGAGGAAACUCUGGUGGAGGCUCGCAGCGGUUCUGACGUGCAAAUCGAUCGUCAAAUUUGGGUAUAGGGGCGAAAGACUAAUCGAACCAUCUAGUAGCUGGUUCCUGCGA
rnacentral:rRNA from 1 species